CUGUAGCCUACCAGGACCCUCCGUCCAUGGGAUUUUCCCAGUCAUCACAGAACGUGGAGGCAGAAGGAGAUAGAAGAUAUUAGAAAUGCUUGAUUUGCUCCUGAAUUCCCUGUAACACUUACUGUGUGCACUGAGCUACUCGUGCUAUUCACAGUGCUGGGUAUCCAGCCAGGUUUCAGCUGAGACACAACCUAGACUUUGGGGACCAUUCAUCCACUUGUAAAUUGACUUCAUACACCAUGAAGCAUCAGUGGGGUACCCCCACGACCCAGGGAUGUCAAACUUCUCACAAAGACUCAGUCCCAAGCUUUCAAUAUAUGAGCUGAAAACUCCAACAGACAUGCCCAGCUUCAAAUAUGAAAUUAUACCCAUAUAUUCCAUCUACUCCAGAGCUGUAGCAUGGCUGUACAUGCACAAAACUAGGGACAAUGUAAGUGUUGAAGAAACUACAAUAAGCAGAUCUUGUGUGGCUGCAAACUCUCCCAGGUCAAGAACAUGUAGGCUGCUUUUAGAAAGAUCUGAGGAGCAUUGCAUAAUGAAACUGUCAAGGGCUGUUGAUUUCCAGGCAGAGUUCCAGAAGUUUCCUCUACUAAGUAGAGGCCACUUGAAUGUCAAGGACUCUCCCUCCAUUCUAAGUUGUUUUCUGCAGGAGUCAGGAUUACCAGACCAAGGUGAGGCACUGUUCAAAUACGUCUGUUCUUCCUGGGGAUCGGAUGUCACCUGAAGCAAUUCCAGAGGGCAAGCUGCCUUGCAGGAGUGGAGCCAGGUGCUAAAGACUCUCCCUGCCCCUCCUGCAGUCG